ensembl:ncRNA T22B7.10 ncRNA
GUGCCAUCACCGGAAAUGGGUCCAUCAAGCAGCAACAGGAAAUGUUAUGCUUUCUAAUCACUUUUGUGCAGUGUUAUGCACAUGCGCCACUUAUUAUUCUGAUGGAAAAGCGUUAGGAAACGGAAAUUUGUCAUUUCAAAGACUC